rnacentral:rRNA from 1 species
CAGCAUGAACUUAGCUUGCUGAGUUUGAUGGCGACCGGCGCACGGGUGAGUAACGCGUAUGCAACCUGCCCGAUACCGGGGUAUAGCCCAUGGAAACGUGGAUUAACACCCCAUAGUACUUUUAUCCUGCAUGGGAUGUGAGUUAAAUGUUCAAGGUAUCGGAUGGGCAUGCGUCCUAUUAGUUAGUUGGCGGGGUAACAGCCCACCAAGACGAUGAUAGGUAGGGGUUCUGAGAGGAAGGUCCCCACAUUGGAACUGAGACACGGUCCAAACUCC